UUUUUUUUUGUCCGGUCCGUCCGUCCGAACGUUUGAGACGCCCUGUUGUAGAUGCUCUCAAUGGAGCAUGCAUGUUGCCAAUGUCUUUGCUUUGCAUGUGUCUUGUGCUUUCAAGCUCUUGUAGGAACAUUUUGCUCUCAGAAUAUCCUUGCGACAUCAGGAAAAAACGUGAAUGAGUAUAUACCGUGUGAUAAACAACCGCUCUUGGUCGUUGCAGAAUGCAACUUGUGUAAUGACCCCCUGCUACUCGUUACUAGUACAAUCAGACUACUAGUAGUAGCUAAUUAAGUCGGCACUUAUGCCAAGUGAGUACGGCUAGCUCUUCUAGAACUCCGACCAGCCUGCUCAAGCCUCAACGCGUACGUCCAAACGCAGCAGACAAGGCCACUAUGCCAGCACUUGCGCACACAGGCACGCACUCACCUGCGUGGAAACCGGUAACUCAGCUUCCAGCCAAGGCAACCAUGGCCCACGUACGGUCCCUGGCCGAACCCGAGCGUCGCGAGAUCGAAAGGGAACGUGAAAAUCGGCCCCUGAAAGCGGUGAUGCCCCAGCGCGACGAGCAGAUGCAACAGCAUGGGAGGAGCCCAAAACGAAGAUCUACCAUGUAUCUCUCACUCUCCGGUCCGGUGGUUCUGUUGCUGGGGCCAUCCGUGCACUAGCACUACCAGCGAGCGCGAUAAAGCUCUUCAGGAAGCAUCCAUCCACCUGCAUCUGGGCAUCGAACCAACCUCAAUUAAUCGGUUGGGUCCGGACGGGACGGUGGGAACGCGGAGCUGCACGGGACCAUGGACCUCGCGGCGGGCCGGGCCAUGCUGGUUUUCCUGGCACGCCCGUGAAUAUACUACUACUGCCCCACUGCUGUGCUGACCGCCUUGUGGUUUGAAUGUUAUUUUGUGUCGACAAAUGACUGAAACUCACGUGAGGCGCGGCGGCCCCUGUACACCUCCCGGGAAAGAAAGUCGCCGGGUGAAAUUCCGCCGCUGCAUGCGGUGCCGGUCCACAGGACUGUACACGUGCAUCAUUUCUCCUGUCACGGACGAUAUAUUACUCUAGUGUAAAAAAACGUUUUGCAUUACGGAAUCAAGGAGGUACUCCUUCCGUUCCAUAUUACUUUUCUUUUGCGAAUCCCUUCCAUAUUACUUGUCGCUGAUUUAGUACAACUUUAUACCAAAUCAGCGAUAAGUAAUAUGAAACGAAGGGAGUAGUAUAUACAGUAUAUUGCUGUUAACUUGAUACCUAGCCGCACAAUGAUAACAUGAUGUUAAGAGCUACUACCUCGGUUCUAAAAUGUACUCCUCUGUCUCAAACUAAGUGUCUUGACCUUAAUAUAAUUUUGUAUUAAAGUAGUAUAAAGUUAAGACAUUUAUUUUGAGACGAAGAAGUGAGAUUAAACAGAGGGUGUAGUCUAGACCAGUGGUUCGCAAAGGCAUUUAACGGUAGAUUUUUUCUAAAGGCCGGUUUUAAAAGUUCACUAGAAGUAAAAUAUACCUAAACAACAUAAUAAAAGUUACACCGAGGUACCUAAACCAUCGAACUGCUACUUCCACCAUCCAAACGAGUCGUCGACAUGUUGUUGUUGCCGCUCUUAUACCGGGAACUGACCUGAUCUUGUCGAUAACAACGAAGGACUCUUCGUGCACGUACCUCUAAGGACCGGGGUGUUGUAGCCACAGUCGUCGCGGUUGAACCCUUGAAUCGAUUUGAAGAACCGACACCAUGUCGCGUAUGCACUACAAGAAAUCCUACCCUUGCCGCCUUGAGAAGCUGGCAGUAAUCUACGCGGGAACUCCGUCUAAUCCAUCCCGACGAAGGAACUUAAGGAGGACUAGAGCCCGGUAGAUUCGAAAAAGAAGCAUUGGCAUUCAUCCAAGCGCAUCCCCGCGAGGACUAAAACCCUAAUGUAUCUACUAGUAGGAACCGAGACACUAGGAUUUCCCUCCCAGCCAUAGGUCGCCUAAGCGGCAAGCAGAGGGGUUGAAUCCAUGAGUUCAUCGGCGGAGAUCGUGGUGAAAAAAAAUCACAUGGACGUAGGUUCACAAAAUGUCUAAUAUAACUAAUAGGGACAUUUCCAUUUUUUGCCCUUAGUUGGUUCCAAUCCAAGUUGAAGGAGCUGGUUUGUAUGCGUUGGAGACUAAAAUAAUAAGUCGGACAAAUUAAAAAAGUUCACAAUGUUUGUCUGAGUACCAUGAGAGGCGAAAGGAUAGAUAAUACUCCCUCCAUCCGGAAAUACUUGUCAUUAAAAUGGAUAAAAGGAGAUAUAUCUAGACGUAUUUUAGUUCUAAAUACAUAUUUUUUUAAUCUAUUUUGAUGACAAGUAUUUUCGGACGGAGGAAGUAUAUGAUUGUGUGUGUCGUCGGGCUGCUGUCAAUGCCUACCUCGUCUUUGCGACGCGUAGUGUUUUUUCUAGAUUUUUUUCAGAUCUGUUUUUCUAGAAUUUACAAUGCAUAAUUGCUUUUUAGAGAAAACUUCGCCGCACUUUGUUAAACAAUGAUGGGAGCUCCUAUUCCCCAACCAAUGGAGUGUAAUAAAGGGAGGAAACNNNNNNNNNNNNNNNNNNNNNNNNNNNNNNNNNNNNNNNNNNNNNNNNNNNNNNNNNNNNNNNNNNNNNNNNNNNNNNNNNNNNNNNNNNNNNNNNNNNNNNNNNNNNNNNNNNNNNNNNNNNNNNNNNNNNNNNNNNNNNNNNNNNNNNNNNNNNNNNNNNNNNNNNNNNNNNNNNNNNNNNNNNNNNNNNNNNNNNNNNNNNNNNNNNNNNNNNNNNNNNNNNNNNNNNNNNNNNNNNNNNNNNNNNNNNNNNNNNNNNNNNNNNNNNNNNNNNNNNNNNNNNNNNNNNNNNNNNNNNNNNNNNNNNNNNNNNNNNNNNNNNNNNNNNNNNNNNNNNNNNNNNNNNNNNNNNNNNNNNNNNNNNNNNNNNAUAUUCGUGAACUUGAAAAAUUGUUCAUGAAUAAAAAUAUUCAUGACGUUUUAAAAUGUCUAUGAAAUCAAAAAAUAUUCAUGGUUUUCAUGAUAUCCGUGAAUGCAAAAAAAGUUCAUGAAAUCAAAAAAUAUUCUAGAAUUAAAAACAUUGACCCCUUAAUAAAAAAAUAAAAAAUCCUAGAUUAAAUUUAAACAAAAACAUAGAAUAAAAGGAUAAACAUGAAUAGAAAGUCUAAGGAGAAUGUAUACAUGACCUGGUCAAAUGUCUUCGCUUAGCGAUUAAUUGGGGUAUAUGUGUAUGCUGGGAGCUCCAAUACGACGCUUAGAGUGCUGCUUCGUCAACUAGCGCUCGCACGGGCAUCAAAUGUGUUGUGGCCCAAUAGCGAUUCACUCGUUGGUCGCCCGAGCCGCUGGUUGGUCGGGUCGCUCAAUCCCAGGUUCCCAGUUCAUAGACUUUAUUAAAAUGGAGGAGAGGAGAGUAUGGAGGGAUCAUCAAAGAGAUUGUAGAAAGCCUUAGACUUUUUUCAUCAUGUAAUUUCUCUUUUGAAUCUCGAAUUUCCAAUGUGGAAGCUCAUAGACUUGCUAGGUUUGGUAUCUCUCUUCCACAAGGGAGACAUAUUGUUGCGGGGAAAACCUGCUGGUUGACCAUGACCAUUGACUUCGAUAAUUGACCCUUUACUGGGCUGUUGAUUAUUGACUUAAAAAAAGCUUACAAUUUUUUAUAAACUACAGAAGUCGAUUUUUGAAAAGUUCACAAAAUUUUCGUGAAUUCGAGAAAAGUUUGCGCAUUUGAAAUUCAUGAAUUAAAAAAAUAUGGUAUUCGAAGAAGGUUCACAAAAUUUCAAAAAAGUUCAUUCACUGGAAAAUGGUCAUGAAUUAAAAAAAUCGUAAAUUCAAAUAAUGUCAUGAAUUUUUAAAAGGUUUUUCGGAUUUUCAAAAGUUCAUAAAUUUGAAAACAAUGCAAAUAUAAAAAAGUUCACGAGAAAACCCAAAAAAACAAAAUAAAAAAGCUACGGAUAAAAAUGAACAAAAAAUUAAACGAAACCUGAGAAAAAACUGACCAAAAGCUUAAAAAACGGGUUGGUGGGAGCGUAUGUAAAAGCAAAGUGCGACUACUUUAGAUGGGCAUGCCCAUUACUACUGAUUUGCACUGGGGAGGUGAAUCCCAUGUACAAAAUAACGCUAUAAGUAUCACUGUAGUGCAAAAUAGGGAUUGCACAUUUGCUCGCCAUGCAGCGGCCCACGCAUUAAGUAUUAGUGACCAACAAUGAUUUUUGAAGAGAAAGAUACAAUGAUGCGUAGUUGGGCUAGUCAAUUUAGGCAACUCACAUUUCAUUUGGUCUCGACACAUUGGGGCUAGUAGCACGGGACUUAUAUCUCACUUCUAGCAAGAUAUUAGCUGAGUGCCCGUGCGUUGCCACGGAAUAUAAAUUUGAACGUCACUCACCAUUAUUAUUCGCCGUCAACACUGAUCCAACUUUGCUAGUGGCUCCCACGAUAAGCCCUCUUGUAGCCCCGCUCACCCCACAGAAUAGUAUGACACCGUCUUCCAUAUACAAUGUACUCCCUCCGUUACAAAUUUCUCUCUAAAAUGUACCAAAGUAGCUUGAUAGACAAGUAAGAAGCAAGAAAAUAUUAAAAAAAAGAGCACAUAUCCACAACAAAGGAAGCAUCACUGCAUCCACAUAACUAAAUAAGCAUCCUAUCAAGCAGGCACAUCAGAUAUGUCCAUCUUCAAUCUAUGUUUUCUUCCAACUAAAUAGCUACUAUGACAAGCUCAUAUUGCUCUGCAUUUUCUGACACCAUAUGUCAAAAUGACCAUGAUUGUGUGUGCGUUGCCAUGGAAUAAAGAAUAUGAAUACUUUUUUUUCUUCAGAUAUCUUCACUCUUCUAUGUCUGUAGACUGAUAUCCACCCUCUUCAUCACCUUACUGACAUAAUGACAAUGAACUUCUUAACCUCCCAACACUUGUUUUGACGAAAGUACAUGAUUUGGAAAUGGAAUAACAGUCACUUGAACACAUACAUCGAAUAAUACAUAUGUACUUUCUAACGGUAUCGUGCCUCAGCCUCACGCAUCCGUCUUCAUUUACUCCUUGCUCUGGGCAAACUACUGCCCUCUAACCACAUGCUUGUCUUGGCUAGCCUCCUCAUAUCUAGAGCUCGACAUGCAUGAUAAAAUCAAAUGAGAAAUUAGAAAAAGCCCAAAAUUUAGAAAAAUCAAGUAUAUUUCAGAAAAUAUGUAGAAUUAAAACAAAUAAUAAAAAAUAGGUAUUUAAAAAUUUGAAAUUUAUUGAAUCACAUCAUUUCUCUAGAAUAUUUUUACUUAUAAAAUAUUCUUGUGAAUGGCACAUAGGCAAAGCGCUGACAACAAUUCCUGCAAGCUCUACAACGUUCAGCUCAGAUGUACUUGUCUCAGUGCAGAAGUAUGCCAUCCCAACCUCGCCCUUCCCAAGCUUCCAACCAAGGAUAUAAAUAUAAUAUUCCCUUAGGUCUGCCGGUUCAACCCAAUGACAGAGAUAGAUGUAGGAACAAACCUUCCUUCAGAAUCCCAUCAACAGUGGACUGCUAAAACUUCUUCAAAUGUGAGAGCAAUCCUCUUCAAGGUGUUCAUCAGCAUACCUAGCUUAAAUUAAAAUAUAUUCUCUUCUGCAUAGGAUUUCACAAAUGUACUUAGUUGAGUUUGUGUGUUCAUUCAAAACAUAACAUCAUUUUUUAUGUUUUCCUAUUUUAAAAAUCGACACAUGAAAUACUUGGUGCAUGUAUUUCCAUACGAGAUCUAACAUGUAGAUGUAGUUUCAAAACAAAGCCAUGCAUAGUUAUGUAUAGUCAUAGUUACCAUGCCCUUUUAACUUAGAAAAAAGUCCAUUUUACUACCCUGAAAAAAGUUGGUGGUUCACAUAACCCCCUGAUCUUUAUUUCUGUUCCCUUCACCCCCUAAACAAUCCUAUACCGGGCAAAAUCAAUCCCUGGAUGGUUUUGACUCAUCUUGGCGCUGACGUGGCGACAGUCAAAUGGUGGUUUUGACCUGUGGGUGGGCCUCCAUCAGGUGGACCGCGUUUUGUCGUCGCCUACCUCCCCGAGCAUCGCCCCCUCGCACUCGAACCCUGCCCUGCCUCCGACCGAUGCCGGUGACUGCCGGAGUUCCAAGGCGCCACCCCGAGCGCCCUGCUUCUCCUUCCUCCCUUCUCUUUCCUCUCCCUCAGUCCCUCUCUCUUCCCUCGUAUCUCUCUCUCAGGUACAGGUCACUCCGCCGCCACAAGCUCGCCGCCGUACCAUCUUCACAUCGCCGCCGGAGUCCGGAUCCGGCCGGAACCAGAUCAGAUUGGGGCGCCACCCUUAGAUCUGGUCAUCCCUCGCCUCCCCGCGCCGCCUGCAUCGCUGUAGCGCCGCCACGUCCACGUCCAUGGCCGGCCCAUGCUACCGCAUCCACACCCCUGGCCGGCCGCCUCUGGUCAACGGGAGGCCACGACCUCCGCAGCCGCCUUGACCGUCGCCCCAGCCUCCUCUGUGCAUGGCUGCGCCUGAGCAUGACCGCACUGAUGCGCCACCGCUGAAGCCCUCCACGCCGGCGACCUCGGAGCAGGACCGCGCUGAUGUGGCAUCAUUAGUUUAGGUCCCCUUCUGUUAAUCUGGGACAUUGACAUGUGGGUCCCCUUCAUCACUAGGGUUAGUCUGAGACAUUGACAUGUGGGUCCCCUUCUGUUAAUGAUGCAAUUAGGGAUAAAUUAGUCCCUUGUUAAUCUCCGUGCAACCGAGAUGUGGGCCCCAUGUGUCAUAUUUGACCGGGCCCAAUAGUCAAUGAGAGUGUGUAGCUGAGAGGGACCCACCCGCAGGCCAAAUACCGCCUUUGACUGUGUCCACGUCAGCAUCCGGUAUGGGCAAAACCAGCCAGGGACGGUUUUUGCCCGGUUUGGGAUUGUUUAGGGGGGGUAAGGGAACCGAAAAAAAGAUCAGGGGGUUAUGUGAACCACCAACUUUUUUCAGGGUAGUAAAAUGGAGUUUUUUCUUUAACUUACUCACCACCAAGUCCUAAGCAGCAAUGGAGUUUCUUCCUUCGAACCAAAGAAGUGGUUUAUAAUCUGAAAAAUAGAACCAGAAAAUAAAUAGUGAAGAUAAACCUAAGUUGGAAGAAUGUAGAUUUUUGUCCUCUUUAGUGAAGACUGUAUACUAAAGUAGUACUCCCUCCGUAAAGAAAUAUAAGAGCAUAUAGAUGUACUAAUAUGCAGCCACUACAAUCAGAGGUAUGUCAGCAUCAUGGUUUCCACUUUCCAGAGAUUUUCUCAAAAGCCAAUUCAACUUGAUUAUUGCAGGUGCAGGUGUUAGAGUACGUAAUGGGCCUAAUGGCCCUGGGAUGGCGGUAUAGCCCAUUAGUCUUAGGGUUAAUUAGAGAUAAGGGUCGCUUUCUUGGGAGUCAAGUAAACCUCUCUACAUAAAGAGAGGAGAUGUAUCAAUCUAAUCAAGCAAGAAUUAAGAAGGAAAUCCCUUCCAUCUUGCCCGGCCGUGGGCAAAAGGCCCUCGGCCGGCCCUCUCGCGCCCUCCUUCUAGCAGCGCCAUAACAGCAGGUCUCUCAUAUUUUCUUAAAUUUAUCAAUCACGGGUAUAUCAACAUUAUGUUUAUCUCCAAUAUAGUUACAGUGGAACAAUCGGAUGUACUCAAUUGAUAGUGAAAGAGCCAAGAUUGCAAGGUGAGAUGUAUUCCAUUCCCUCCGUCCCAAAAUAAGUGUCUCAACUUUUGUACUAACUUAAGUUGAGACACUUAAUUUGGGACAGAGGGAGUAUAUAUAUAAUGAAUAUAAAUAAAAUUACUAUGAUGUAGCACUAAGACCUUUGUAGUAUUUUCCUUCUUGUGAAAAGCUUAUGUGAACACAAGGUACAUCUCAUACUUGCCUGUGUCACUACCUCACUAUAAAAUGCUACAAAUAGACAUACAUCUAUAUGCAGUGAUUUACUGAACAAAAUCUAAAGAUACUUAAUGUUAUUACUUUCAACACAUACUUUUUAUUUGAAAAACAUUAAAAUACUCUGUAGAAAUUGUUAUUAUCAUGUAAAGUACACUUUAUAAAACAAUUAUAGAACUAACUUUUUAUAUAAAUUCGAGAGCAACAUCUUAAGGCUGGAAUUAACAAAAAAGCAUGUACUACAUCCAGCAUCAUCUUAAGUAGCAACACACAGAUAUCAGGUAGGUGUGUGUACAGAAAGCUCUUGAUUGAGCAGCAUUUUAGUACAACAUAUAUAGUAGCUAAUUUUCACGACAUAUUGGUCAUUGAAUAGUCGAAGAAGUAAACAGAUGGUUACCGAAAGUUUCGCCAUUGUGGAGCUUACACAGUCUUCCACCUUAUCCUGACCUUGGUAUUGAAUCAUUGUUACAGCACACACAAAUACGGAUAUCAAAUAAAAAUCAGAAAACAAGUUGCAUUCUCUGCCAAAACCAUAUGCAAUACCUCCUGUAGUAGGAGUAUUUUCAGUAACUACUCUGAUGUACUACUGCUCCUAGUUUCAGUAAACAAAUAAAAUACAUGCAGAACUAACACAUGGGAUACUGAGAAAAACCAAAACAUAAAGAAGAAAUUAUUGUCAGCCCGAAAUAUGAAGCUAAGUCUGAUGUACUGCUAUAGCCGUCCGUGUAACCUCGUCGGUUAUCCACCCCAUCCGCCAAACUCUCCUCCGAUUGCUGUCAUCGCGGCCUAUCCAUCACAACAAGAAGACUAUAUGUAGAGAAUGGCGUAACAAAAUAAACAAGGCUAUCAAAUUUCUACUACAAAGAACGCAAACUCUGUCAGUAGUUACAAAACUGGAAAAAAUAUAAUUUCUCCUACAUCUACAUAUUAGCAAUGAUGGAUUUACUUUCUUUUUUUGGGAAAGAAUCAAAUUGUCAAAUGUAUAGAGAAAUAUUAGAGGUCCAUGCUCAUACCUUUUCUCUAUCCUGAAAAACAUGACAGUUAGCAGGGGCACAUAAACCUGAAUUGCUGGUGAGGGGAUAGGACCUUCGGUGACACCUCCUUAUCAAAGGACUGGCCGGCUUCCCAUCUCCCGGCGGCUCAUCUAAGAUGAAGGCACGGCGGACCCAUGGCAUGGGGUAGGGCGACAGGGUUGCGUACUUGCGUAGGGAUGUUUGUCGCCUGAAUUGCUGGUGAGGGGACGAAGGCACGCGGGUGGUCGCGGGAGGGGGCGCCGCUGCUCCAGGCCGGAUGGUUCUCCUUCGUGAGCAGGUUUGGAGACGAGAACUUCUGGUUUCGUGAGAUCGCUGCUACGGGAGAGUGAGGCUGAUGGGGUGGUUUUGGGUUCGAGGAGAUUGUGGUUGUGUGGAGACGUGCAGGAUUUUCUCUUUUUUCCCGCUGGUUUAUAGGGUGGGUUCGUGCGUGGGGGGUGGAGGAUUGAACGAGGUCGAACCAUCACGACGUUCGAUCCCCCUUUAAUAGUAGAGAUAAGCUCUCCUUGUCUGAAGCUUUUCUCAGAUAGCUAAUAUCGCUAGUUUGCUCGCUCGCAUCACUGGUUUAGUUCACUUUGUUUUUUUUGUUUCUAUGUUUGCUUUAGUUUUAUUUUUUCCUUCCUAGUCUUCUUUGAAUUUCUUCGUUUUCAACCGAUUUUCUUUGUUUCUCUAUCGGUUUCAAAUGGUUUUUUUCUUCUUUUUCCUUUGUUUUCUUCUUUUUGUGUUUCUUUCUUGAUUUUCACUGGUUACUUUACUUUCUUAGUUUCUUCAUUAUUUCUUUGGGUUUCUUUGUUUCUCUCUUGGUUUUCAUCAGUUUUCCUCGUUUUGCUUUACUUCUUUCUCGGAUUCACUAUUUUUCAUUCUUUUGCAUUGGUUUUCUUCUGUUUUAUUUUUGUUUUCUUAUUUCCUUGUUUUCAUUUAGUUCUUUUCUUCAGUAUUUAUUUCUUUAUUAGUUUUCUUCAUUUUCUCUAGUUUCUUUGUUUCCUUUAUUUUUUAAGUUUACUCGGUUUCCAAUACAUUCAACAUUUUUUUGUCUAAAUCACAUUUUUUAUAUACAUCUUUAACAUUUUUAAAAUACAUGAUUAACAUUUUUGAAAUCCUAUGUUUGUUUAUGUCUACUUUUUUCAAUAGGCAUUGUACAUUUUUGGUAUAUAUUUAAUACAUUAUUCUAAUAUACAUAUAAUGUUUUUAAAAUAAAAUUUAAACAUUUUUUAUACAUGGUCGAUAUUUUUUCUAUUCACAUUUAAAUAGUUUUCAAAUGCUUGGAUAAUUUUUUUGGAAUACAAGAUUGACAUUUCUUUAAGAAAUAUUCAACAUUGUUUUAUACAUUUUAAACCUUUUAUCAAAUGCUUGAUUAAUCUUUUUCAUAUACAAGAUUUAACAAUUUAAUACGUGGUCAACCCAUAUACAUUUAAGAUUUUCUAAAUGCUUAGAAAAUAGUUUUUCAAAUGUUUUUCAACAAAUUUUCAAAUGCUUCAUUAGCAUUUUUUAAAUACAUGAUAAUUUUUUUUGAUGAACACUGUACUUUUUUAGUACAUUGUUCGUAUUACCGAGAAACAUUUUCUCUGUAUACAUUUAACAUUUUUCAAAUGCUUGUCUACCAUUUUAUUUUUUAUGUAGAGUGUUUUUUGUUAUAUAUAUAGGAGUAUUCAGAAUAUUUGGAAGUCUUAAUAAAAGUAAAAUUAAAAUAAAGCAAAACACAAAACUAAUAAGCAUGAAAAAAAAGAAUAAAACGAGGCUGUGGCCUCCUGUGCGCCUGGGACAGCCGACCUGACACUCGAAUGUGCCCAUACAUCUCGCUUUAAGUAGGACACAUAGAGUUGUCUCAAAAAAAAGUAAGACAUAGGGGCGCCCGGCUAGUAGGUAAACGGCAAAAUGGGAUUGGGUUGGGCUACACGCGCUCCAACAUGGGCCGCAACCUAGGAAAACUGUUUUUUUGUUAUUUUCCCUUUUAGUUUCUUUUCAUUUUUCUUUAUUUACUUUCUCCUAUUUGUUUUUUAUUCUUUUCUGUUUACUUUUUCUCUGUUUAUUUUUUGUGAUUAAUGUUUAUUUUAGAUUUUCUGUUGUCCCUAUUAUUGUUUUGCCAUUGAUGAAUAUUUAAUUUUAAAAAUUACAUGAAUAUAAUUUGAGAAACAUGAUCAUAUUUUUAGAAUUUUAUUUUCUUCUUUACGAUACCUGAAGAUUCAGAAUAAAAGAAUAUUUAGAAAACAAAUGAACUUUAUUCACAAAGUUUUUUGGUAGACCUGAACAUUGAUUUUUCAAAACAUGAACAUCUCUUCAAAGAAAUAUGAAUAUUUUUCUUCGAAGAUACAUUGUUUUAAUUUUGAGCAGCAAAUUCUGGCGUUUCACCUAGACAAAGCAAAAGCUAGCCCUCAGAUGGCCCAACAAAUUUUAGCAAGCGUACACACUCAAGAUGAUUUCUGGUGAUUCGAUCUUUCAUGAAAAUCUUUUGUGCCUGCCAGUUUCUUCGUGUUUGCUAAUCAUCGUAUGCCUGUUUUUUUUCGAGCGUCGCUAAAAUUUUGCUUUGCUCGAGGGCAAACCAAGACCUAAUCCAAGAUGGAAACGAUGCUGCGCGUCCCAGGAAGAUGCGAGGAAGCAGGUUGACGGGUGCAGGCCGCUUAGAGGGAUGGUCACGGCCGUGGCAAGCAAUGACAAUGAAGGAGGUUGAUGUUGAGGGGAGGGCGAGGCGAUGAGUGGCAGUGCCUGCCAGCUACGCGGCGCGUAGUAGGUGGAUGGAGCGGGGUAGGCCGAGGGUUUUCGGGAGGAAGAAGACUAGAGUGAUUGAAGCCUUGAAGAUGAACAUGUGUGGGAGGAUAGUGGUCGUUGGAUGGUGAUCCAACGGCCUAGAGAAUUGUUUGAUGGAUUUUUUUUCAGUCAUCUGAUGUAUAGACGGUCCUUUUUUUUAUUGUUAGCCACGCAUCCCUUGCAGCCACGGUAUGUAUCGCUGGAAAUUAAAUACUUGGAGAGUACAAAAUAUCAUGAUAUUUGAAUACUUCAUCAUAUAUUAAAAUCUCAACCCAACUAGCUUGUGGUUGGUUUUUUCAUUGCGAACUCUGGUCAUCACACCGAUGACAGCACACCUGAAGACGGCCACGUCCGCUCACACAGAUAGAUUCAAAUUAACUAGUAACCACGCAUGCAUUUUACCACAACUAAUUUAUUCGACGUACUACUACUAGUGGUGUUGUGACCUUCUCGACGUACGUACGCGGGCACGUACGUAAGUCGUCGCCGGAUAACAUGCAUGCAUUGACUAUUUUCUCCCUCACGCAGAGUCUCUCUGACUGCAUGGCUCUAUGGAGCGACCGAAGUUGGCGGCACGCUGCCAUGGUGGUGUAUCGGGUCCGGCCCGCCUGGCACCUCCCUAUCGGCGUCGUCUCCACCAGCGGCCUGGCUCGACGGCGUCUCGACGACGUCGUCCCCCAUCGUGAACGACGCAACGGGCCUUGGCCGGUGGCCGUCGUCGACGAGCCCGUGCUGCAGCGCAUUACCGCCACCGCCACCGCCUCCUCCAUUACCCACCACAACAUCACCUUUCUGCAUCAUCCUUGCCGCUUCCAUCUUCCUAGCGACACCCAGAGUGCAAACCAAGAACAGCAGCACGGCCAUCCUCGACGAAGCCAUGAACAAACAGAGAACCUUACUUGAAAAAUUAAGCCGCGAGCCUGCCACUCGAUUGCUAUCAAUCCCCGAGAUAGUUGUCUUAUCCUAUGAAGGAAGGAAGCGAGUGAUGGGUCAAGCAUGCACCUGGAAACCCUUAUAUACACGCGGGCCGGUCCAGGUGAGGAAACACCAGUCGGUUGGACCGAUGGCGACGUUAACUAAUCGUGGCUUAAAUACUCAGCAAAACAUCCAAAGCAAAACAGAUCAAGCAUCCAUCCGUAGGCGGAUCGAAAAUGCGACGAUCUUUUAGAGAGAGGCAGAGGGCAUACUAUAAAGGUAGUGGGGGUCGCUUCGGCAUCGCAACGACCUCGAUCGUGCAUUCAGAUAAAUCCAGAGCUGACGGUUAAUCGUGGGCGUGCACCCUGAAAGCAUUAGUUUAGUACCCUGCUAGUGCAGCGCAACCUGAUACUCUGUCGAACCCUUGUUUGCUUAUGGAGGCCAAGGCCAGGCUUUGCUAGCUAGCGAGAUGUGACAGUGAGUGAGAUGUGUCAUGUGUGAUGUCACCAAAGCAUAAUGUGAGCCAGCAAUACAGGUAUAGAAUGACUCUGAUUCGGAUAGUCUGACUGUGUACUACGGCUUUACACCACCUUUGACUAGCCGGUGGAUCUUGGAGUAGUGCUUUUUAAAUACGGUAGACACGCAGUCGCUCAUACAUACACACUUACACGCACCUCUAUAUACACAUACAUAUGUACACUCUACCCUUAUGAGCACCUCUGAUAGAUUGAGCCGGAGAAUUGCAUGGUUCUGGUUGAACAGAGUGCAAUCAGUUAAUUAGGAGCACCAGCAUAUUAACACUCCCUGUCAUAGAAAGCACAACUACACAGCUCGCCUGUAAUAAAUCCAUAAAUCCAGUAGGGCCUAUUUGUGUGGUGCUAAUAUGUACGGUAACAACUGUUGUAACUUUCUCUAGUUUUAAAAUUAUUUAACCUUGGUUGUAGUGGGAUAAGGAGUGUCUUCAUUCACAAUGCUAUGUACAUAGCUUGCAAAAAAGUCUUAUAUUGUAGGAUGGAGGGAGUACAACUUUGUAUUUAUUAACCAUGUACAUGCAAAGCAAGUCCAAUUAACAAAGAUUAAACCAAAAAUAGUUUUCUUAACAUUUACUGCAUAUGUUUGUAAUUUCAUAAAUACAUGUCGUCAAAGCAUGUAUCGUCAAACUUAUGCAACUUCGAUUGUAAAAAUAUUUUGAAGUUCCUAUAAGCAAGGUAAAAUAAUUCUUUUAGUUUUUUCAUAAAAUUUACUUAUAUAUUAUUUUUACGUUCUUUUAGUAACAUAUACACAUGAAAGGCAAUGCACGAUGUGUAUAUAUUGGGCACCGCCAGAAAUAAGAUGUAUUUACAGACGGAGGGAGUACAACUUAUUUGUAUAUGUUUUCUUACCUUGAUAAUUGGAAGACGGCCGUAGAAAAUAGUUAAUCAUGCAUGCUCUUAGAGUCAUAGUUUAGAAAGGAAAAAAGUAUUUACUAAUGGACACAUAAUUUCAGAAGUGCACAUAAAUAUGUAUAAUUUCAUCAUAAUUGCUAAACAAUUUUGGGAAAUUUGUAAUUUUGGGAAAUUUGUAAGAAUAGGUGCUCAACUUAAGAAUACACAAUUAUGUAUGUAAAAAAUAGGCGAGUUAUUAGCAGGAAAUAAUUAUAACCAUGAGACAGUCAGUGGAUGAAUGAUCAAGAUAUGUGUGAAGAAUUAUGAAAUCGGUUCGAUGAUUUUGGAUUCUUGGAUGGUAAGUAUGCAAAUUCUUACUCAUGCUUUUUAUUUAUACUGGUAGUUGAUUGUACAAAUCAAAUCAGAUAACACACCUUGAGACAAGAAGAUUACUUAGACAUAGGGAACUUGAUUUGAUGUCUUCAGUCCAUUGAUCAGUCUCGGAUGAAUGAGGAGUACGAAAAAUGUACGCACUCUUGUUAAAUCGGCCGAGUACCAUGCACCGUUACCUGACCAUAUACUACCACGGCCGUUUAGUUUGACAGUCAAAAUUCAUACUUUGACAAUACCAUGUAGUUUGUAUAACACAGAAUGUAUCCAUUAUAUUCUAUUGAAAAGCGCUCUUGAUCCUACAUUUUAAGUUAAUAAAAAUGCUCUAUAUCAAUAAAUAUUCUUUUGAAAGCACUUCCAUAUGAUUAUAACUGUGUAACCAUUAAUUAAAUACUUUAGGAGAGUUUUAUGAUCAAAUAUAGUAGUAAACUUGGACAUCCAAAUAAAGCCGAGUAUUUAACCAAAAACUACCACUUUUUAUGGAAACGUGUCCACAAACUACCACUUUACGAUUUUGUUUCAAAAACUACCACUUUUUUGCUAACCCGUCGCUAAAAACUACCAAGUAUGAAAAGUGCCCGAUUUACCUCUUCCAAACGCUUUUCUUACAUGUUGGGCCCACAAGACAGGUUGAUCGCUAACAGGAGGCCAACGGCGGGGCUAGCCAGCCAGCUCGAGCGGAGGCCAGCGCACGGAACGGCGGCCUGCCUCCCCGGCGGCGCGGCCUGCCUGCUCACCCGGCGGCGCGGCCUGCCUGCUCGCCGGCGCGGUGGCCAGCGCACGGCGCGGCGGCACGGCCUGCCUGCUCGCCCGGCGGCGCGGUCUGCCUGCUCGUCGGCUCGUCAUGGUCUAGUAACAUAACCUGCAGAACAGGAUUACCGUACCACUCUGGUGCAGAUCUUACUCUGGUUGACCUACGAGGUUCAGUAACAACUUGAUUUGAAGUUUCAUGAUCAUCAUCAUUAACUUCCUCACUACUUGGUGUAGACAUCACAGGAACCGGUUUCUGUGAUGAACUACUUUCCAAUAAGGGAGCAUGUACUGUUACCUCAUCAAGUUCUACUUUCCUCCCACUCACUUCUUUCGAGAGAAACUCCUUCUCUAGAAAGGAUCCAUUCUUAGCAACGAAUGUCUUGCCUUCGGAUCUGUGAUAGAAGGUGUACCCAACAAUUUCCUUUGGGUAUCCUAUUAGACACAUUUCUCCGAUUUGGGUUCGAGCUUAUCAGGUUGAAGCUUUUUCACAUAAGCAUCAUAGCCCCAAACUUUAAGAAACGACAACUUUGGUUUCUUGCCAAACCACAGUUCAUAAGGCGUCGUCUCAACGGAUUUUGAUGGUGCCCUAUUUAACGUGAAUGCGGCCGUCUCUAAAGCAUAACCCCAAAAUGAUAGCGGUAAAUCAGUAAGAGACAUCAUAGAUCGCACCAUAUCUAGUAAAGUACGAUUACGACGUUCGGACACACCAUUACGCUGUGGUGUUUCGGGUGGCAUGAGUUGCGAAACUAUUCCGCAUUGUUUCAAAUGUAGACCAAACUCGUAACUCAAAUAUUCUCCUCCACGAUCAGAUCGCAGAAACUUUAUUUUCUUGUUACGAUGAUUUUCAACUUCGAAAUUCUUUGAACUUUUCAAAUGUUUCAGACUUAUGUUUCAUUAAGUAGAUAUACCCAUAUCUGCUUAAAUCAUCUGUGAAGGUGAGAAAAUAGCGAUACCCGCCGCGAGCCUCAACAUUCAUUGGACCACAUACAUCAGUAUGUAUGAUCUCCAACAAAUCAGUUGCUCGCUCCAUAGUUCCGGAGAACGACGUUUUAGUCAUCUUACCCAUGAGGCAUGGUUCGCAAGUACCAAGUGAUUCAUAAUCAAGUGAUUCCAAAAGUCCAUCAGUAUGGAGUUUCUUCAUGCGCUUUACACCAAUAUGACCCAAGCGGCAGUGCCAUAAAUAAGUGGCACUAUCAUUAUCAACUCUGCAUCUUUUGGCUUCAACAUUAUGAAUAUGUGUAUCAGUACUAUCGAGAUUCAUCAAAAAUAGACCACUCUUCAAGGGUGCAUGACCAUAAAAUAUAUUACUCUUAUAAAUAGAACAACCAUUAUUCACUGAUUUAAAUGAAUAACCGUCUCGCAUCAAACAAGAUCCAGAUAUAAUGUUCAUGCUCAACGCUGACACCAAAUAACAAUUAUUUAGGUCUAAUACUAAUCCCGAAGGUAGAUGUAGAGGUAGCGUGCCGACGGCGAUCACAUCGACUUUGGAACCGUUUCCCACGCGCAUCGUCACCUCGUCCUUAGCUAGUGUCCGCUUAAUCCGUAGUCCCUGUUUCGAGUUGCAAAUAUUAGCAACAGAACCAGUAUCAAAUACCCAGGUGCUACUGCGAGCUCUGUUAGGUACACAUCAAUAACAUUUAUAACACAUAUACCUUUGUUCACCUUGCCAUCCUUCUUAUCCGCCAAAUACUUGGGGCAGUUCCGCUUCCAGUGACCAGUCUGCUUGCAGUAGAAGCACCCAGUCUCAGGCUUAGGUCCAGACUUGGGUUUCUUCUCUUGAGCAGCAACUUGUUUGCUGUUCUUCUUGAAGUUCCCCUUCUUCUUCCCUUUGCCCUUUUUAUUGAAACUGGUGGUCUUAUUGACCAUCAACACUUGAUGCUCCUUCUUGAUUUCUACCUCCGCGGCCUUUAGCAUUGCGAAGAGCUCGGGAAUCAUCUUAUCCAUCCCUUGCAUGUUAUAGUUCAUCACGAAGCUCUUGUAGCUUGGUGGCAGUGAUUGAAGAAUUCUGUCAAUGACGCUACAUCCGGAAGAUUAACUCCCAGUUGAAUCAAGUGAUUGUUAUACCCAGACAUUCUGAGUUUAUGCUCACUGACAGAACUAUUCUCCUCCAUCUUGCAGCUGUAGAACUUAUUAGAGACUUCACAUCUCUCAAUCCGGGCAUUUGCUUGAAAUAUUAGCUUCAACUCCUGGAACAUCUCAUAUGCUCCAUGACGUUCAAAACGUCGUUGAAGUCCCGGUUCUAAGCCGUAAAGCAUGGCACACUGAACUAUCGAGUAGUCAUCAGCUUUGCUCUGCCAGACGUUCAUAACAUCUCGUGUCGCUCCUGCAGCAGGUUUGGCACCUAGCGGUGCUUCCAGGACGUAAUUCUUCUGUGCAGCAAUGAGGAUAAUCCUCAAGUUACGGACCCAGUCCGUGUAAUUGCUACCAUCAUCUUUCAACUUUGCUUUAUCAAGGAACGCAUUAAAAUUCAACGGAACAACAUCACGAGCCAUCUAUCUACAACAAACAUAGACAUGCAAAAUAUUAUCAGGUACUAAGUUCAUGAUAAAUUUAAGUUCAAUUAAUCAUAUUACUUAAGAACUCCCACUUAGAUAGACAUCCCUCUAAUCAUCUAAGUGAUCACGUGAUCCAAAUCAACUAAACCAUAACCGAUCAUCACGUGAAAUGUAGUUUUCAAUGGUGAACAUCACUAUGUUGAUCAUAUCUACUAUAUGAUUCACGCUCGACCUUUCGGUCUCAGUGUUCCGAGGCCAUAUCUGCAUAUGCUAGGCUCGUCAAGUUUAACCUGAGUAUUCUGUGUGUGCAAAACUGGCUUGCACCCGUUGUAGAUGGACGUAGAGCUUAUCACACCCGAUCAUCACAUGGUGUCUGGGCACGACAACUUUGGCAACGGUGCAUACUCAGGGAGAACACUUUUAUCUUGAAAUUUAGUGAGAGAUCAUCUUAUAAUGCUACCGUCAAUCAAAGCAAGAUAAGAUGCCUAAAAGAUAAACAUCACAUGCAAUCAAUAUAAGUGAUAUGAUAUGGCCAUCACCUUCUUGUGCUUGUGAUCUCCAUCUCCGAAGCACUGUCAUGAUCACCAUCGUCACCGGCGCGACACCUUGAUCUCCAUCAUAGCAUCGUUGUCAUCUCGCCAACUAUUGCUUCUACGGCUAUCGCUACCGCUUAGUGAUAAAGUAAAGCAAUUACAGGGCGAUUGCAUUGCAUACAAUAAAGCAACAACCAUAUGGCUCCUGCCAGUUGCCGAUAACUUGGUUACAAAACAUGAUCAUCUCAUACAAUAAAAUAUAGCAUCAUGCCUUGACCAUAUCACAUCACAACAUGCCCUGCAAAAACAAGUUGGACGUCCUCUACUUUGUUGUUGCAAGUUUUACGUGGCUGCUACGGGCUGAGAAAGAACCGUUCUUACCUACGCAUCAAAACCACAGCGAUAGUUCGCCAAGUUAGUGAUGUUUUAACCUUCUCAAGGACCGGGCGUAGCCACACUCGGUUCAACUAAAGUUGGAGAAACUGACACCCGCCAGCCACCUGUGUGCAAAGCACGUCGGUAGAACCAGUCUUGCGUAAGCGUACGCGUAAUGUCGGUCUGGGCCGCUUCAUCCAACAAUACCGCCGAACCAAAGUGUGACAUGCUGGUAAGCAGUAUGACUUGUAUCGCCCACAACUCACUUGUGUUCUACUCGUGCAUAUAACAUCAACGCAUAAAACCAAGCUCGGAUGCCACUGUUAGACCAUGGUGAUGCAUAGCAACGAGAGGGGAGAGUGUGUCCACGUACCCUCAUAGACCGAAAGCGGAAGCGUUAGCACAACGCGGUUGAUGUAGUCGUAUGUCUUCACGAUCCGACUGAUCAAGUACCGAACGCACGACACCUCCGAGUUCAGCACACGUUCAACUCGAUGACGUCCCUCGAACUCCGAUCCAGCCGAGCUUUGAGGGAGAGUUUCGUCAUCACGAGGGCAUGGUGACGAUGAUGAUGUUCUACCGACACAGGGCUUCGCCUAAGCACCGCUACGAUAUGACCGAGGUGGAUUAUGGUGGAGGGGGGCACCGCACACGGCUAAGAGAUCCAAGGGAUCAAUUGUUGUGUCUAUGGGGUGCCCCUCUCCUCCGUAUAUAAAGGGGGGAGGAGAGGGCCGGCCAAGGGGAGGAGGCGCGCCCAAGGGGGAGUCCUACUCCCACCGGGAGUAGGACUCCUCCUUUUCCUAUUUGGAGAGGGAGAGGGAAGGAAGAGGAAGGAGGGAGGAAGGAAAGGGGGGGCCGGCCCCCCUCCCAAUUCGGAUUGGGCUUGGGGGGGCCUCCCUUGCUCCUUUCCCCUCCUUUCCACUAAAGCCCAUUAAGGCCCAUAUACCUCCCGGGGGGUUCCGAUAACCUCCCGGAGCUCCGGUAUUAUCCCGAUCUCACCCGGAACCAUUCCGGUAUCCAAAUAUAGUCGUCCAAUAUAUCGAUCUUUACGUCUCAAUCAUUUCGAGACUCCUCGUCAUGUCCGUGAUCACAUCCGGGACUCCGAACAACCUUCGGUACAUCAAAACACAUAAACUCAUAAUAUAACCGUCAUCGAACUUUAAGCGUGCGGACCCUACGGGUUCGAGAACUAUGUAGACAUGACCGAGACACGUCUCCGGUCAAUAACCAAUAGUGGAACCUGGAUGCUCAUAUUGGCUCCCACAUAUUCUACGAAGAUCUUUAUCGGUCAAACCGCAUAACAACAUACGUUGUUCCCUUUGUCAUCGGUAUGUUACUUGCUCGAGAUACGAUCGUCGGUAUCACAAUACCUAGUUCAAUCUCGUUACCGGCAAGUCUCUUUACUCGUUCCGUAAUACAUCAUCCCGCAACUAACUCAUUAGUUGCAAUGCUUGCAAGGCUUAAGUGAUGUGCAUUACCGAGUGGGCCCAGAGAUACCUCUCUGACAAUCGGAGUGAUAAAUCCUAAUCUCGAAAUACGUCAACCCAACAAGUACCUUCGGAGACACCUGUAGAGCACCUUUAUAAUCACCCAGUUACGUUGUGACGUUUGGUAGCACACAAAGUGUUCCUCCGGUAAACGGGAGUUGCAUAAUCUCAUAGUCAUAGGAACAUGUAUAAGUCAUGAAGAAAGCAAUAGCAACAUACAAAACGAUCAAGUGCUAAGCUAACGGAAUGGGUCAAGUCAAUCACAUCAUUCUUCUAAUGAUGUGAUCGCGUUAAUCAAAUGACAACUCUUUGUCUAUGGCUAGGAAACAUAACCAUCUUUGAUCAACGAGCUAGUCAAGUAGAGGCAUACUAGUGACACUCUGUUUGUCUAUGUAUUCACACAUGUAUCAUGUUUCCGGUUAAUACAAUUCUAGCAUGAAUAAUAAACAUUUAUCAUGAUAUAAGGAAAUAGACAAUAACUUUAUUAUUGCCUCUAGGGCAUAUUUCCUUCACCGGCCGUCGCGUUCCUCGUGCUGUCGCGGCAGGAGCAGCAGCGGAGAGCCGGCUGCGCGGGCUCGACCCGGAGGUGGUCGCCUCGUUCCCCGCCAUGACCUACGCCGAGGCGAGGGCGCUCCGGGAGAAGGAAGCGGGAGGCAAGGGCGACGAUGACACAGCCGUGCUCGAGUGCGCCGUCUGCCGCAGCAAGUUCGACGACGGGGACCAACUCCGGCUCCUCCCUAAGUGCGGCCACGCCUUCCACUCGGACUGCAUCGGGGAUUGGCUCGCAGGCCACGUCACUUGCCACGAGACGCACAUAACCUGUUCGAUGUAAUGCACAUGAAGGUGGAGAGAGGUGGAAAAAGAGGGUUGACGUGUGGGCCCUAUCUGUAAUAACGGUCAAAGUUAACGGUCAACCUGACUUGUGGGCCCAGCAUGUCAGAAAGGCGUUUAGAAAAGGUAAAUCGGGCACUUUUUACACUUGAUAGGUUUUAGCAACGGAUUAGCAAAAAAAAUGAUAGUUUUUGAAAUAAAAUCGUAAAGUGGUAGUUUGUGGGCACGUUUUCAUGAAAUAUGGCAGUUUUUCGUUAAAUACUCAAUAAAGCCUUGUAGCUUCGCAAGAAUAAAUUAAAACUAGGCCUUAUAGUUCGGAGCGGAGAUUUUCGGUCGAAUAACCAGCUGACAACAUGGGCAUGGGGAAACCCCUGUUGGUUCAGCUGUCUUAACUAACGCACGAUCUCCGUCGUACGGAUGCAUGGUGGUGGGCUUCUGAUAUUGAUUUCUUCGAUUCGAUUUAGUAGGCAUAAUCCGGCCGUUAGGCACUUUUCAUGCAUGAUGAUGCGACGUCUACGUGGGAUGUGUUGAUAAGACGACAAGAAAAGAGCUCUCUUGUCGCGUCAGCGUGGUCAGAUAUAUAUGCGGCAAAGAGGAUUUGAGCCUAUCGCUUGAUCCAGCUGCAUGAAUGAGUGGAUAGACAUGUAUGGCCGGACCUUCCAAAGGCCAAAUCCGUCGGACUAGACUCCCAAAGGUCAAAUCCGUGCAAGGCUCCACUAGCAACGAAUGCUUAACAUGGCCAGGUGGUGAUUAAACAAGCCAGCUUGCAGUUUUCUCUUUUCUUUUUGAUGCUCAUAACCGGCGAACGUUCGCCAUGAAUGGUGGCACACACGAUGACACGAAUGUUUUGGAUGACAUUUCAAGUUUUGAGCGGGUGGCAACUUCUUUAGAGUAACAUGGCAGUUUCUUCAAAGAAACAUUUUUCGUUUAAAAACUGCUGUCGUUUGAUUUUUCUUCACAACUAAAACUGCCAUUAAAUAGUGUUCGUUUGCCACCCAUCUCCUAGCGAACGUCAGCUAGGUAACAUUACCGUUUUUUCUUAAACAUCUGCUAGCAGUUAUCUUGGGCAUAUACCCACAUAUAUGGUGGCCCAGACGACAACAGAUGCAUAUGCCAACCCGGAAGGCUUUUUGUGGCAUGCAGGGGCGAAAGUUCACGGAUCAUGGGCUGCCGAUCUACACCAAGAUUUGGAAAUAUGCUUGUGUAGCCAUCGGUAUAUAUCUAUAAUAAUUUCGUAAAUGAAAUGCGAUAUACCUGCUGGUGUUGGUCCGCUUUCAUGGGUGUCUAGAGAGCUUAUCAGAACUUCAAGUGUGUUUAUGUAUUCAGGUUUUAUCCUAUACUAGUUGACUGCCCGUGCGUUGCCACGGUCCCUUCAAGUUUUUCAUCAUCUCAUAUAGUAUAGACAUAAUGGAUGUUGAAAAUCACAAGUGUCGAAAACAUAGGCAUGUAAUAUUCCUAAAAGAAUAAAAUUCAAAAAAACUAAAGGAGGCAUCAUUCCUGAAGCGAUAAAGCACAAGUGGAUUUGAAUAUUGCACUUACAUUUGUUUGCGAAAGCAUUUUGGCUACAUUUUAUCAGAAAAUGUUGCUUCUGAAAUAGAGAUAAAAGGUGUAUGCAUUUCUAUAUGAUGAAUGGGAAAGAUUGCACAAAUGUGUGUCUCCAGCCAUCUAUGCAACAUAGAAGUAAGACCUGAAUGAACAAACUUUGGCUACAGCACAGUAACCGCAAGGACACAUAAUAAUGAUAAUUUUCAGGAAAAAAAUGUACCAUAUGAAUGUCUUUUUUCGUUUAGUUGUGACAACUUUAAAUUUGUACUUUCACUUCCUAUCCUAGUCUUAGCUUCUCCGGACAAUAGCUUGGACCCAUUAUGUCAUUUCCAGAACAAAAGAAGAAGAAAACAAGGAGAGCCUUACCAGAUUCAAUGCACAAAAUAGAGUGGUACACAGUCAAGUCAAUACAGAUAGCACAUGAAUGCUUUAUUUUUAUUAGAACCAAUUGUUUGAUAAAACAUAUGGGCCUUCACACAAGAAACGUGUCAUCAAGAAGUUACGUCACAGAAAAUUAACAAAGAGUGUAAUAAAUUGUUAUUAAGCUUAGAUAUACAAGAAUAGGACACAAGUAACACGAUAUCUCCCUCUGGCGCCACAAAGCAGAGCAUCAAAGAGUACGUAUCUCCCCUCAGUGUAAAACAACAUGGUCUAUAAGUUUGCUAUAAAGCAGCUCAUGCCUGAAUGAACUUUCAGCCUCUAUACUUCGCCCUCUAAGUGCACCACAUACCUCAACUCCACUCACCUCUAUCAAUGGGGCAUGUGCUCUUUGGUUUGUCAUCUCCAGCACUGUUUAAUAACAAAAUAAUCACUGAUCAUGUUUUACAGUUUGAGACAACACAUAUAUACUGGUACAUCAAAAGUGUACACACGAUUUCCCCUUCAUCAGAUAUCUACCUUGGAUUAUGUUACAAACAAAUGCUCAACAUACAUCAAGCAACGGGAGGCAAUCCUGGUGGCAGGCAACUUUUGCUGUAUAUAUAGUUGAACAAACUAUGACCCUCUUCUUACAUUAGAUAAACCAAGAUUUGUCAAUAACAUGAUGAAAACCGAAGUCACCUACUGCCUGCUACUUGAGUAGAACAUUAAAAAUGAUAUAUAAGCCAGGAACACUGUGUUUAGUAAGAUCAGGAUCUUCUGACUAUAUUUCAGCAUAUUUGGGUCAUCUAAAAAAAUAUCUCGUGCUGACCUUGAUGCUUAUUAUAAUUACCUUGCUUGGUGAGAAAUGUCUUUUUAAUACCAGCUAGCUUAGAAGAUCAAGCAUAAUCCCUUUAGGCUAGUUCUAUAUGAUACAAGGUGCAGGAAUGUUUACAUGUAGAUCUUAAUCUGACAAAAUAUGACUACUGAUAAAGAAAAAUUAUAUCAUUCUCGCCUAUGCUAUAAAUUAGUUAAUGUGCAAACAGUUGUCGACAUAGUCGUCCCUGCGGGGGUAACGGCGAUGUCCACCCUUCCAUGUGCAUGCAUUCCCCGCAGUCGCCCAUCUUCAUGAUCAUGCACCUCGGUCUUGCUGCUGCCACCCCAAAACUCAGAAGUAGUUGUUCUCUACAAUGCAAAAUUCUUUAAGAAAUUUUAGAAGUACAACAACCCUACAUACAUCAAAAACUGAUGGGACAGUCUUAUGCAGUAGUUCGAAAUGACCAAAUGAGACACAUCAAGAAUGCUCCUAAUCAGCUCAACAACUCCCAACACCAGCAGCCAUUUUCUCCAACCUGACAAUUAAGCACACACCAAGAUUGUUUCGCUAUCCCCAUAACAAAUUCCAACAAACUUUAGCCCAAAUGUCUAUCCAUUUUUGCGUGGAGGUUAAUGAUAAACAAGCCUGAUUAGAGCAAUAUUACAUUAACCAAUAUUCCUAGUUGCUUUUUGGUUUUUGGAUAAAUUGCAGAUCUCAAGCUAAAUACGUUGAGUACUCAAAGAAUGAAGGUGUAUGUCGUCUCCCAUAUUUCUACCUUCUAAUAACCAUGGAAAAUGAGUCACUUCUCAUUGAGUGAUAUAAUUAAUCGUAUUAUGGUCAGCAGCAAGAGGAAUGUCUAAAUGAACAACAAUUCAAAUAAAACUAACAUCUCUAGGAUUGUCUUCUGGAAAUUUAGAAAUGGAAGACCAGGUAAAGUUUCCAACAUCCACUACACUUUUUAUGACGAGUCGACUGACAACCAUAAUUUUUUGAUGGGGUGCGAGUAUCAUAUUCAGCAACCAAAAAGAUACAAUGCAUCAUAGGAAAAAUGAUUGACUAAGUGCGGAUUGCCAGAAAUAAUCUCUCUGUGUGAACUAUUUUCCUGCUUGCAAACAUGCGGAAAAGCAUUUUCAUUUUCAUUUUGCCGGUGUAUUGUUACUAAUUGGUAUCCAAACAAAGCAUUUUAAUUUUACAAGUGUACUAUUCUAUUAUUCACUCAGAAGUGCAUUUUAAUUUUAGGUAACAAAGCUUUUUAAUUUUGCCAGUGGACUGUUAGAUUGAAGCUCCCGUGAGUCGCUGCGGCGCUGCUACCCUUCUCCUCCAGUGCAGCCAUCGCUUACUGGAACACCGAUGUGCUGGGGGUGACGCCGUCUCCCACGGUCCGAACUCCUCCCAGGUUCAAUCACAUCUAUAUGCAGCCAAUCAGCGUGGUGCGUUGAGCUUAGCGUCAGCAACUGAACUGACGGUCAGAUCGCAACAGCUAGCAGAAUGGUCAAUUGCCAGGAUCGUAGAGGUAACGAAGCCAAAAACAUGUGAAGCAAGAUAGAUAAAAUUCAGACCGGUGACCAAAGUAUAUUCAAUUCUUGGCUUUAGGACUUUAAUCACAACAUGUUGCUGUGAGCUUUUCAACCAAGCCCCAUGAACCGAGAUGACCAAAAAGUUACUUCAUUACUUUGAUGCUAGAUUGAAGAAGGCUAUACAAAUGCUCUCAACAGAAACAUGUGCUAUUGAAGAAUAGGUCAUUCGCACUGGAUCAAUGUAUCAAUGUAUUCGUAUACACUCUUAAAUGGCCGUUGCAACUCCUCACACAUAAGCAACAUGUGGUGGUGGGCGCUGCAGGAAAGAAAGUUGGUGCUGAUGGCAUAAACUGCAAAAUCAUAUAGACAUAUGAGUAUGAGAAGACCACCUUGUUGACCAUGGCGCUGCCAAAGACCUGAAGCUGGCCUGGCAUUGCCACUUGAGAACGCCCUGCUCAUCUCCCAUGUCCUACACGCGCCGCUGGGGCACCACCGAACCAGGACGGCGAUCGCCAAGAGAGAUAGGGAAGAACUCGAGCUCCCUUGGAGAGAUAGGAAGGUGGGGAUGGGCGCACCGGUGAAGACAAGGACGCCGUCGACCAGGAAGACGGAAGUGGCGCCCAACCCUAGUUCGACCAGGAAGACGGCGGCGGGUCGCAAGAUGCGGUGGGAGUCGUGGGUGGGGGCUGACUGCAUGCGUGGAUGGUAGUUUCCUGAUUUCUAUUCGCUUGUUCUUUCUGUUUUUUUUGCGUGAUUUUUUCAAUCGUGCGGGAGGGAGAAGACCUGGGAUUUUCAUAGAGAUUUUUCCGGUGCGGGGGGAUCGAACGAGGUGGUCGAACCAUCACGACGUUCGAUCCCCUUUAAUAAUAGAGACUUGAUGAUCUCUAGGUCGGCAACCAACCCUUUUUCCACCUGUACACAAUGGGCACCUCUUUGUCAAACCAGCAUAACAUCUGUGUUUUUUGCUUCGAUAAAUUCCAGGCAGCCAAUAUAACAACUUCUUUGAACAGUGGUUGAUGCUAAGAUCUCCUUGACUCUGGCAUCAUCUGUUGAAUGUCUAGGGAAGUGUCCCAUUGUAUGUUUAAAGCCCCCAACAAAUAGUGCUGAAUCCACAACCGAAGAACAAGUGAGUAUAAGUUUCGAGAGUCCCAUGUGCGCAUAACAGACAUGAAUGGUCAUCUCCUAUAUCAAAGUGUCUUCGACAAAGGAUAUAACUUGCAUUCACACGGUCCAUGAACAUCAACCAAGCAAACACCUUAUGCUUCGUCAUGCAUUGUGUGUUCCAAAUAUCAGUUAUGUGUUUUCGGGGGUUUAGAAUUUCUUUGGUGUGAAUUUUGCAUCACCCCAACACAAUAUCCAGUCGACAGUUGCAAAAGGAUCAAGAGUAGUUUGAUUCAACUUUUGUGUCACUAGGUCUAGUUCCUCUCAGGCUUGUAUUAACAGAGGCAGAUGGAAAUUUUGUCCAGCGUCCGAACCGCUUACAAACUUGGCCAGAGAUAGAUCUUCUUCCUUUGUAAUCGAGAAGAGAUGACGAUAAUUUUCUUGUCACAAACCGUCAGUGUCCCACAUAUCUUUCCAAAUAAGAAUGGUGUCCCCAUCUCUGGGAACGCAUGUGGUGAUUCCUUUGUAUAUGUUCAUCAGAGAGAAGAUAUCGCACCACUAGAAAGAGCCGCACUUUGGUUUUCCAUGUGGUGGGGUAUCAUCAUAUAAUAUUUGUUACUAACAAGCAUGACCAAAGGCACAUCAUCUCGGCCCUCUCUUCGCUAAAGCUAUAAAUGAUGUGACUCGCGUCCAUCAAUCCAAAAGCAAUGAUUCCACGUAAAUGUUUAAUACACCAUAACUUGUCUUCAUAUAACUCGAUCUUCAACAGUAUCACGAGAAUCAUGAGGCACAUACAACUGAAAGGUUUGUUUUAGAACCUUGUAGACGUAGAAAAGUGUUUCCUUUAGCUAGAACUACUUUAGAAGAUGAUAAGAAAAUAUCACAUAUAAAUCUAUUUAUAUAUAAAAAGUAAAAUAUGGGCUAACCAGAAAUUAGAUAAAUAUGCUAAAAAUUACCAUAAUAAUUAGAAAGAUCUAGCCGUUCAAUCUAAUUUAUCAUUAACGUUAAUUAAAUCUCAGCCAAUAAAUUUCAUUAAUGCUUUCCACGGCUGCCCCUGUCAUGUACCUGUACCUAGACCCGCGUAAAUAUCACGCCUGAGCUCCAAUUAGAUCGCCAAAAAAUCUUAGAUCAGAUUAAAAAAUGUCAUAACCUAGCGCUGUCGGCGGCCGCCAGCUGCGUUCUCCGUAGGGAUCGUCGUUGUCCCGCUACGGCGUCACAUCCAUGCAGAAGGAAUCAGCCAAACCAUCCCAGGUGGAUCCCGCGGGCAUGCGUUAGCGACGACUGAAGUAGAGGCAGGUCGAUCGAUUCUCCCAAGCUAUCCAACGCAAGGCUAUACUGCUCUUUGCAUGCAUGUCCUUAUUUUUUUCUCCAUAGCUAUUUUGUACUACUCCUUUCCUAAAUAUAUUUCGGAACAGAGGUAAUACUUUAAUUAGUCCUAUAUAUAGAACGUAUACAAGUAGAACGUAUAGAAGUUGAUGAAGCGCCAUGUUUUCUUUCCUUUACAAUUCAAUCUGAUGUUACAUCUUACAUGAAAGCAGAACAUGCAUCCGAGAAGAAACUAUUAUUUCAUUACUACUAGAUUAGAGUACAGAUGGACAUCUACAUAAACAAAAGAUACUUUACCAGAAAGAAAGACCUCCUUCAAGAUAUACUCAGGAAUUCCUGCUACUCCGAGGCACCCAAACUUCCUCCAGAGAACCCUACCUUUCUCCUCUAAGAUGUCCUGAAUUUUGAAGGUCUGUCCACAAAGCACCGGCCUGGACGCAGACAUACGCCAUAAACUGCAUGGCCUCCAGGAGGGACUGAAAACCGACUUCUCCCAUCAAACCGACACACUGCUGCUCGAUGCAGAUGUUGGACCUGACAAGCAGCCACAUGUGUUAGACCUGACGGAUCAGUAAAAAAGAAGUGGGAUGCUCUAGCACAUCCACCAUCUCCAUUGGAACUGUUGUUGCACUAUGCAGCGUUAGCGACAACCCAAGCCAAGGCAGGUAUUAGAUCGAUAAAACCUAUACUACCGCUCUUUGCAUGCACGCCUCUUUUUUUUCCAAGAACUGUUCUGUUCUUUAAUUAAUAAUAAUACUCUGUAGCACACCUAAAAGUUCAUAUGCACCCGUCCUUUUCAUGAAUCCCAUAGUUCUAAUUAAUAGCACAUAUAUAAGUUUAUAUUUGCGUUGCCAAAAUAUGCCCAACCAACAAGUUUAAGCUCAAUUCGGCAAGCCACUUAGUUUUAUUUCCACUUACCACUAUUGAGCUUGUAGGACAUUGUACAUAAUAUUGAGGAUUGUCUGAUCAACUCCAGCCAGCAAUGACACAACCUACAUCAUUAGUUCCGUCUAGCGACAACACCACCUCUAGCAGGUACCAUCUUCUACACGAAAUCAAGCUACCUCCAGCAGGAUCCAUAUUGGAAAACAAGUUCAAAUAGUUUACCAAAAGUAUAAUGCAAGUAUUUUCUUUACAAAGCAAACUGGAAAUCCAAGGAACAGAAGUCACAAAUGAAGCAAAAAAGGUUACAGAGAACAAACUUCUCAAUGAUCAGGUAUUUCACUUCUCAUCUUCUACAUGUGUUAAAUAAUUGUCGUUAUUUUAUGAAUUUCCAAAACUGCAG
rnacentral:lncRNA from 1 species